UACGGGGGGGGCAAGCGUUGUUCGGAAUUACUGGGCGUAAAGGGUCUGUAGGUGGCUUGCUAAGUCAGACGUGAAAUCCCUCAGCUUAACUGGGGAACUGCGUCUGAGACUGGCGAGCUUGAGUGCAGGAGAGGAGCGCGGAAUUCCAGGUGUAGCGGUGAAAUGCGUAGAUAUCAGGAGGAACACCGGUGGCGAAGGCGGCCCGCUGGCCGGAUACUGACGCUGAGACGCGAAAGCGUGGGGAGCAAACAGG
rnacentral:rRNA from 1 species